rnacentral:rRNA from 1 species
UACGAAGGGGGCUAGCGUUGCUCGGAAUCACUGGGCGUAAAGGGUGCGUAGGCGGGUCUUUAAGUCAGGGGUGAAAUCCUGGAGCUCAACUCCAGAACUGCCUUUGAUACUGAAGAUCUUGAGUUCGGGAGAGGUGAGUGGAACUGCGAGUGUAGAGGUGAAAUUCGUAGAUAUUCGCAAGAACACCAGUGGCGAAGGCGGCUCACUGGCCCGAUACUGACGCUGAUGCACGAAAGCGUGGGGAGCGAAACAGG